AUGGGCUUUAGGGACCUUCACAGCUUUAACCUUGCUAUGUUAGGAAAACAGUGUUGGCGACUGCUCCAGAAUCCAGACUCUUUGUGUGCAUAUGUUCUUAGUGCAAAAUAUCAUCCUGAUGGAAACAUCCUGAAUGCGGGAUCGAAGAAGGGUUCUUCUUAUACUUGGCAGAGCAUUGUCUCGGGUAUCCAAACCAUUAAACGGGGUUGCAUAUGGCGUGUUGGCACGGGCUCAAAAAUCAACAUUUGGCAAGAUCCCUGGAUACCAUCAAGUGAAACUUGAAAAGUAAUAACAAAGGGUGAUAAAUUACUGAGAAAAGUUAAAGAAUUAAUUGAUACACACACUAGACAGUGGGACGUUGACCUUAUUCAAUCACUUUUUUCGCCUGUGGAUGUUCACCGAGUCCUCCAAAUACCUCUUCGGGUGGAAGUGUUAGAGGAUUUUGUUGCAUGGAGUGGUACUUGAUCAGGGUUGUUCUCUAUUCGGUUGGCCUAGCACGUCGAAUUUGAACAUCAGUUCGGUCAUCAAUGAAAUUGGUCGGAGGGCCAAGGCAGUUCCCAACUGAACACUAUAUGGAAACAUAUUUGGAGUCUUCACAUCCCAGGUAAAGUGAAGCAUUUUGUUUGGAAAGUGUUUAGGGAAGUACUACCUUGUUUCGGAGUUCUUGCGGGACGUCAUAUCCCAACAAGUGGUGAGUGCCCAAUCUGUCAUGUUGGGUUUGAAGACAUCCAACAUUGUUUAUUCACUUGCCCUCGUGCUAUUGAAAUUUGGUCUGAACUUGGUCUGAUAGAUGUUAUCACAAAGGCGGUUGCUAAAGACCGUUCUGGAUCAAUCACCAUGGAGAUCAUUGGUAGGGCUCAAGUUGCUGCAGGAGAGUUGCCAUUGCCCGAAUUAAUUGUAGUUGCAGCCUGGUACAUCUGGUAG
rnacentral:rRNA from 1 species